GCCAGUCUGACCGUGAGCGAAGUGAAGGCCUGUCAGCGAGCGAAAUCGCGAGUGAAGGCCGGUCCCUGACAGCAAGCGAAGUGAAGGCCUGUCAGCGAGCGAAAUCGCGAGUGAAGGCCGGUCCCUGACAGCGAGCGAAGUGAAGGCAUGCCAGCGAGUGAAAUCGCGCGAGCGAAAUCGCGAGUGAAGGCCAGUCACUGACCGCGAGCGAGCCCUAGCGGG
rnacentral:lncRNA from 1 species